rnacentral:rRNA from 1 species
AUUGAACGCAGGCGGCAGGCUUAACACAUGCAAGUCGAGCGAGGUGAUGGUGCUUGCACUAUCACUUAGCGGCGGACGGGUGAGUAAUGCUUAGGAAUCUGCCUAUUAGUGGGGGACAACAUCUCGAAAGGGAUGCUAAUACCGCAUACGUCCUACGGGAGAAAGCAGGGGAUCACUUGUGACCUUGUGCUAAUAGAUAAGCCUAAGUCGGAUUAGCUAGUUGGUGGGGUAAAGGCCUACCAAGGCGACGAUCUGUAGCGGGUCUGAGAGGAUGAUCCGCCACACUGGGACUGAGACACGGCCCAGACUCCUACGGGAGGCAGCAGUGGGGAAUAUUGGACAAUGGGGGGAACCCUGAUCCAGCCAUGCCGCGUGUGUGAAGAAGGCCUUAUGGUUGUAAAGCACUUUAAGCGAGGAGGAGGCUUACCUAGUUAAUACCUGGGAUAAGUGGACGUUACUCGCAGAAUAAGCACCGGCUAACUCUGUGCCAGCAGCCGCAGUAA